AUUGAUAGCCCUCCCACCACGCUAUCCGCCAGAGAACUACUAGUGAAAAACUUAAAACUCAAAGGACUUGGCGGUGUCCCAUUUCGGCCUAGAGGAGCCUGUCCUGUAAUCGACACUCCCCGUUCCACCCAACCUCCACUUGCACAUUCAGCCUAUAUACCGCCGUCGACAGUCUACCCCAUGAGGGUCUUUUAGUAGACACAAUAGCAACAACUCGCUAAUACGUCAGGUCAAGGUGUAGCAAAUGUUGAGGCAGAGAUUGGCUACAUUUUUUAUUUCAAAACAAACGAAAUGCAACAUGAAACAUUGCACGAAGGUGAAUUUAGUAGUAAAAUGAACAAGAGCGUCCAUUUUAACACCGCUCUGGGACGCGCACACACCGCCCGUCACCCUCUGCAGUCAA
rnacentral:rRNA from 1 species